rnacentral:misc_RNA from 1 species
AUAAUCAAUUUAAAACUAAAAUAACCAGAUCAUGAAUGGGCAAAUGGAGAGUGACUCCUUGUGGUAGGAUCCCGAAUGGAUUGAUGUAGAAGUGUAGAUUAGUUCUCCUUAACUUCACUAUUUGAUAAUCGUAGCUCAAGAAAUGAAGAUAUAUGAAGAGGGAAAAUUUGAGAUGGGAAAUUUGAGAGAAACAGAUGGAGAAGUGUAUAAAUUAGAAACAAGAUAAACUCUUUGCCUCUUUGCACCACAAAUAAAAAGAAUCAAUAUCUAUCCAAGUUAGUGGCGGUCGUCACUCGUUAAGCAACGGCCGUUACUAUUACAUAACAGUAAUUACUUGUUAAGUAACAGCCGUUAUUGUUACGUGACGGCUGUUGCCCAUUACAAUUUUUUCACAGUUACUUAAAGGGGGUAUCGGUAAUAGUACCCCCAAAAACCUAUAAAUAAUGAUUUUAAACCAUGCUUCUAUCUCUUUGAACGACCAAUAAAGCAUGCAACAUAUUGAAUAAUCAGUCAGCUACUUGAUUCUCUGUUGGUCUUAAAACACUCUAGAUAGAGAUUUAAAGUUAUCAGACUCACAUUAGAAUGUCAUGUGAUAGAGCUCAGUAAUAAACCAAAUUACCCAUUACCUAUUGCCUUUCCACAUGAUCAGAGUUUGCAUUAAGAAUAAGACUUCAAAAGCUAGAAAAAGGUAAAUAGCAACUUACAGCUUGACAGACAUGUGAUAAAGUUGACUCAAUAUGCUUCAUAAGCUAGAGAAAGGUAAAUAGCAACUUACAGCUUGACAGACAUGUGAUAAAGUUGACUCAAUAUGCUUCAUAAGCUAGAG